CACAAGUCGUAUGAGUGUAGCCUUCCCUGUGCAGUUCUAAGUGAGGGAGCGACGGAAAGGCUGGUACAGGAACAUGGAUUCCCAGGCCAUGAACCGUGGUAGACAUGGAAAGCCACACUCCAGAAGAUCCAGCUGACCAAUUCCCUUUUGUCUGGCGAGCAUUAAAGUCACCCAGCACAGCACGUUGUUCUGCUUAAAGAGGGAAAAAUGCUUCUUUAAAAAAAAAUGAAACGAAAUCAAAGGACUUUAGCCACCUCAUGGUAUAAUAGGAUUUUUUUUUCUACCCUGAUCGUGGGGGAGAAAAAACCUAAUCUAAAAUUUCAGCUGCACACGUUGAUUAGCCAGAAUUCCGCCUCAAGUUCUGGAGGCAACAGACGGGAAUCCUUUGGCUGUAUGGAUGCAAAAAUGGAGCAUGACUUGACUUGAUAUGGCAGCCAGGAAUUUAGCUCAAGGAAACUGCUCAGUCUGAGGACAGACUUGGUUAGUUUUGUGGGUUGAAGCACUCCUAGUGCUAGGACCUGACCUGGUGCCAUCUCAGACCUCGGUGUGGCAUAAGGAGCCCACAAAGAGCUUCUUCUCCCCCGAACUGUGGGACAUUUUAACUCAGCUCCCACUUGCACAGAGCCAGUCAUCUGGAGACACUUGGGCAGACCGGUCAGAUAGUGCCAGACACACAAAACGGAGGAGCGGGGGGGAUACCGGAGCAGAGAACAGGGGUUAAUUUUAAAUAUGCAUCAGAUCGGCCGCCCUAUUCCCACACCUGGCUCUCGCCCGCUUGUGGUGCACGGGGACGCCAAUCGCUCCGCUCUCUAGCUUAGGUUUUGCACGUGGCUGAAAAGUGCUUUGCGGUGUGUGUGCGUGUGAGAAUCAGAAUCAACCCACCGCUGGAGUGAUGCAGCCAGCCAACCACCAU